UGCCCGCGCCCCGUAAAACGGGACGGCCCGCCCGAGGACCCCUAAACUCUGUUUUUAGUGGAACUUCUGAGUAAAACAAACAAAUAAAUCAAAACUUUCAACAACGGAUCUCUUGGUUCUGGCAUCGAUGAAGAACGCAGCAAAAUGCGAUAAGUAAUGUGAAUUGCAGAAUUCAGUGAAUCAUCGAAUCUUUGAACGCACAUUGCGCCCGCCAGUAUUCUGGCGGGCAUGCCUGUUCGAGCGUCAUUUCAACCCUCAAGCUCAGCUUGGUGUUGGGACUCGCGGUAACCCGCGUUCCCCAAAUCGAUUGGCGGUCACGUCGAGCUUCCAUAGCGUAGUAAUCAUACACCUCGUUACUGGUAAUCGUCGCGGCCACGCCGUUAAACCCCAACUUCUGAAUGUUGACCUCGGAUCAGGUAGGAAUACCCGCUGAACUUA
rnacentral:rRNA from 1 species